rnacentral:rRNA from 1 species
CGGACCAAUAGAGGACCUCCCGGGAACUGGGGCUAAUUUCCGAUAGGUAAAACACCCUGGAAUGGGUCUUCGCUCAAAGGGCGCUUAGGGCAUGCUUCUAAGCGUUGCCUAAGGAUGGGGCCGCGGCCGAUCAGGUUGUUGGUGAGGUAACGGCUCACCAAGCCUUUAACCGGUACGGGCCGUGGGAGCGGUAGCCCGGAGAUGGGCACUGAGACAAGGGCCCAGGCCCUACGGGGCGCAGCAGUCGCGAAAACUUCGCAAUAAGCGAAAGCUUGACGGGGCUAUCCCGAGUGCCAUCUGCUGAGGAUGGCUUUUACCCAGUGUAGAUAGCUGGGGGAAUAAGGAGAGGGCAAGUCUGGUGUCAGCCGCCGCGGUAAUACCAGCUCUCCGAGUUGUGGGGAUGAUUAUUGGGCCUGAAGCAUCCGUAGCCGGCUGGGCAAGUCCCCUGUUAAACCCAGCGACUAAUCGUUGGUAUGCGGGGGAUACUGCUUGGCUAGGGGGCGGGAGAGGCCGUCGGUAUUCUCGGGGUAGGGGUGAAAUCCUAUAAUCCCGGGAAGACCACCAGUGGCGAAGGCUGUCGGCUAGAACGCGCCCGACGGUGAGGGAUGAAAGCUGGGGGAGCAAACCGGAUUAGAUACCCGGGUAGUCCCAGCUGUAAACUAUGCAAACUCAGUGAUGCAUUGGCUUGUGGCCAAUGCAGUGCUGCAGGGAAGCCGUUAAGUUUGCCGCCUGGGAAGUACGUACGCAAGUAUGAAACUUAAAGGAAUUGGCGGGGGAGCAC